rnacentral:tRNA from 1 species
UGGGCUGUUAGCUCAGUUGGUAGAGCAACGGACUCUUAAUCCGUGGGUCAAGGGUUCAAGCCCCUUACAGCCCAU